rnacentral:tRNA from 1 species
AGGGGUGUAGCUCAUUGGUAGAGUGCUUGCCUAGUAUGUAGGAGACACUGGGCUCCAUCCCUA